CCCAGCACUGCAGUUGAGCAGUCCUUGGGCGCCCCCUGGUGGCAGUACAUCCGGAGUCUGUGAACAAGUUGGGGGGUGUUCAGGGAAGACAUGACUGUACUUUACAGGGGUUAAAGGCAAGGAUCACAGGGUUCUGCCAGUGGACAGUCUGGAACUGGAUCACUGAGCUCCCCAAAGGGCCGUGGCACAAAAGCUGGCCCCAUGUGAGCUGUGAGCAGCCCUUGGCACAAUGACCCCUGCCUGCCCAGAUGGGGCUGUCCGGGCCGGCGUGACUCGCGUGAUGUCGCGGGCGUUCCCACAGAGACCUGAGAGGGACCUGCACAACAUUACAGGGAAAUGAAAGGGAGCCAGAGGACGAGGCAGAUGUGGCGUCCCGUAAACAGUCUGCUUUCCCAACGUAAACCAGAUCCCGGCCCAGGACAUCAGACGACAGUUAGAAUUCAUUCCAGAGCAAUCUGUUGUUUUACUUCAGUUGCACAAAUAAGAAGAAAGUGUCUGCGCAGCUCUCAGAUCCAACCGUUUCAGAGAAAUGUCAGAGCAGAGAACAUUUCCAACUUGCUCUAUAAAGCUUACCCUGACACCAGAACCAAAAAAGGUAUCACAAGAGAACUGCAGACCAAUAUCCCUCAUGAAUACAGAUGUGAAAACUUAGCACACUGGCUCCAGUAACGUAUGAGAAAGGAUAAUACAUCAUGACCAUAUGGGAUUUAUCCCAGUAAUGCAAGAUGAAUUGAACAUUUGAAAAAAAUCAGUAGAGUUCACCAUACUAAACGAAGAGAGAAAAAGCCCUACGAUCGUUCCAGUAGAAGCAGAGAAAGCAUUUGACAAAACCCAAUACCCAUCCAUGGUAAAAAGAAACCCUCAGCCCCCUGGAAAUACGAGGGGGCUUUCUCAAUCUGAGAAAGUCAGCUACCAAAAAUACGUGGCUAACAUGGUGGUGAAAGAUUGCCUUCCCUAGGAAGGCACAGGCAGGAAUGUCCCCUCUUAGCACUUCUGUCACGUUGCAGUGGAGAUUCCGGUGCUUGCAGUGAGGCAUGAAAAAGGGGGAAACGGCAAACAUCGUGAAGGACAAAGUAGGACAGACGUGACCGUCCAUGUAGAAAGUGUGACUGAAUCUUCAAACAAGCUGUAAAAGAAGUGGCUUUGGUGAAACUGGGGUAUCGAAGAUCGAUCUAUGAACAUGUGGCCCCACCGAGGUGGUGAGAUAUACUGCCUGAUGCUGGGGCCAUAUGGGAAGACCCUGGGCUCAGAGCCCCAGCAGAACCGAGCAGGCUGGGUGACCCUGGGUGCUGGCUGGCUGGAAGGCAGGGUGGGCAGUAGGGGGAUAGUGUGCUGAGUCCUGUCAAGGACAUCUCUCCUCUCUUUCAUUUUGAUUUCCUGCCUCGCUUUC